rnacentral:rRNA from 1 species
GAUGAACGCUGGCGGCGUGCCUAAUACAUGCAAGUCGAGCGAACGGACGAGAAGCUUGCUUCUCUGAUGUUAGCGGCGGACGGGUGAGUAACACGUGGAUAACCUACCUAUAAGACUGGGAUAACUUCGGGAAACCGGAGCUAAUACCGGAUGAUAUUUUGAACCGCAUGGUUCAAAAGUGAAAGACGGUCUUGCUGUCACUUAUAGAUGGAUCCGCGCUGCAUUAGCUAGUUGGUAAGGUAACGGCUUACCAAGGCAACGAUGCAUAGCCGACCUGAGAGGGUGAUCGGCCACACUGGAACUGAGAAACGGUCCAGACUCCUACGGGAGGCAGCAGUAGGGAAUCUUCCGCAAUGGGCGAAAGCCUGACGGAGCAACGCCGCGUGAGUGAUGAAGGUCUUCGGAUCGUAAAACUCUGUUAUUAGGGAAGAACAUAUGCGUAAGUAACUGUGCACAUCGUGACGGUACCUAAUCAGAAAGCCACGGCUAACUACGUG